GAUGAACGCUGGCGGCGUGCCUAAUACAUGCAAGUCGAGCGAACGGACGAGAAGCUUGCUUCUCUGAUGUUAGCGGCGGACGGGUGAGUAACACGUGGAUAACCUACCUAUAAGACUGGGAUAACUUCGGGAAGCCGGAGCUAAUACCGGAUGAUAUUUUGAACCGCAUGGUUCAAAAGUGAAAGACGGUCUUGCUGUCACUUAUAGAUGGAUCCGCGCUGCAUUAGCUAGUUGGUAAGGUAACGGCUUACCAAGGCAACGAUGCAUAGCCGACCUGAGAGGGUGAUCGGCCACACUGGAACUGAGACACGGUCCAGACUCCUACGGGAGGCAGCAGUAGGGAAUCUUCCGCAAUGGGCGAAAGCCUGACGGAGCAACGCCGCGUGAGUGAUGAAGGCCUUCGGAUCGUAAAACUCUGUUAUUAGGGAAGAACAUAUGUGUAAGUAACUGUGCACAUCUUGACGGUACCUAAUCAGAAAGCCACGGCUAACUACGUG
rnacentral:rRNA from 1 species